rnacentral:piRNA from 1 species
UACAGUAUAGCAUUUUACAUUUCUCCUGUG